rnacentral:rRNA from 1 species
UGUAGUAAUACAAGGCAGACGGCUCAGUAACGCGUAGUCAACCUACCCUAUGGACGGGGAUAACCUCGGGAAACUGAGAAUAAUACCCGAUAGAACAUUAUGCCUGGAAUGGUUUAUGUUUCAAAUAAUUUAUUGCCGUAGGAUGGGACUGCGGCCUAUCAGUUUGUUGGUGAGGUAAUGGCCCACCAAGACUAUUACAGGUACGGGCUCUGAGAGGAGUAGCCCGGAGAUGGGUACUGAGACACGGACCCAGGCCCUAUGGGGCGCAGCAGGCGAGAAAACUUUGCAAUGUGCGAAAGCACGACAAGGUUAAUCCGAGUGGUUUCUGCUAAAGGAACCUUUUGUCAGUCCUAGAAACACUGAUGAAUAAGGGGUGGGCAAGUUCUGGUGUCAGCCGCCGCGGUAAAACCAGCACCUCAAGUGGUCAGGAUGAUUAUUGGGCCUAAAGCAUCCGUAGCCUGCUUUGCCAGUUUUCGGUUAAAUCCAUACGCUCAACGUAUGGGCUGCCGGGAAUACUACAAAGCUAGGGAGUGGGAGAGGUAGACGGUACUCGGUAGGAAGGGGUAAAAUCCUUUGAUCUAUUGAUGACCACCUGUGGCGAAGGCGGUCUACCAGAACACGUCCGACGGUGAGGGAUGAAAGCUGGGGGAGCAAACCGGAUUAGAUACCCGGGUAGUCCCAGCUGUAAACUAUGCAAACUCAGUGAUGCAUUGGCUUGAUGCCAAUGCAGUGCUGCAGGGAAGCCGUUAAGUUUGCCGCCUGGGAAGUACGUACGCAAGUAUGAAACUUAAAGGAAUUGGCGGGGGAGCACCACAAGGGGUGAAGCCUGCGGUUCAAUUGGA